AAGGAUCAUUAACGAGUUAGGGUCUUCCAAGGCCCGACCUCCCAACCCCAUGUUUAUUGUACCAUGUGUUGCUUCGGCGGGACCGUCUUCACGACCGCCGGAGGGCCGUAAAACGUCCUCUGGCCGGCGCCCGCCGAUGGCCCCCCUUCAAAACUCUUGAAUAAUCAUGCCUAUAUUGUCUGAGUAAUACACAAAAAUUAAAAGCAAAACUUUCAACAACGGAUCUCUUGGUUCUGGCAUCGAUGAAGAACGCAGCGAAAUGCGAUAAGUAAUGCGAAUUGCAGAAUUCCAGUGAGUCAUCGAAUCUUUGAACGCACAUUGCGCCCUUUGGUAUUCCGAAGGGCAUGCCUGUUCGAGCGUCAUUUACACCCCUCAAGCCCCCGGGCUUGGUUUUGGACGGUUUGGUCUGGGCUCCGGCCUCGACCCCUCCUAAAGACAAUGACGGCGGCCUCGUUGGACCCCCGGUACACUGAGCUUCUUAACUGAGCACGUAUCGGAUUUAGGGUGCGCGGGGCCCGGUCUUCAACCCCCUUUUUUUCUAAGGUUGACCUCGGAUCAGGUAGGAAUACCCGCUGAACUUAA
rnacentral:rRNA from 2 species